rnacentral:rRNA from 1 species
CGAACGCCUGGCGGCGCGUCUUAAGCAUGCAAGUCGAGCGGUAAGUGGAAGCUUGCUUCUAACCUAGAGCGGCGGACUGGUGAGUAACGCGUGGGUGACGUACCUCUGUGACGGGGACAGCUCCUAGAAAUAGGAGAUAAUACCGGAUACGCUGCAUGUUGUCAGAGGACAUGCAGGAAAGGAUCUUUUGAUUCGCACAGAGAGCGGCCCGCGUACUAUUAGCUAGUUGGUGAGGUAACGGCCCACCAAGGCGACGAUAGUUACCCGGCCUAAGAGGGUGAUCGGGCACAUUGGGACUGAGAUACGGCCCAGACUCCUACGGGAGGCAGCAGCUAAGAAUAUUCCGCAAUGGACGAAAGUCUGACGGAGCGACGCCGCGUGGAUGAUGAAGGCCGGAAGGUUGUAAAAUCCUUUUAUGACUGAGGAAUAAGUUUUCUGAGAGAAACGGAAGAUGGUGACUGUAGGUCAUGAAUAAGCAACGGCUAAUUACGUGCCAGCCGCCGC